ensembl:rRNA 5S_rRNA 5S ribosomal RNA
GUCUACAGCCACUCCACCCUAAAUGUGCCCAGUCUUGCCUGAUCUCAGAAGCUGAGGGGGGUUGGGCCUGGGGAUUAGCGGGUGCUAUAGGCU